UGCGUAGGCGGCGCGGUAAGUCGGGUGUGAAAUCUCGGAGCUUAACUCCGAAACUGCAUUCGAUACUGCCGUGCUUGAGGACUGGAGAGGAGACUGGAAUUUACGGUGUAGCGGUGAAAUGCGUAGAUAUCGUAAGGAAGACCAGUGGCGAAGGCGGGUCCCGUGGACAGUUCCUGACGCUGAGGCACGAAGGUCAGGGGGAGCAAACGG
rnacentral:rRNA from 1 species